GCCCUGAUGGCCAAGCUGGUAAGGCGCAGCACUUGUAUGAGAUGCUGAGAUCCCUGGUUCAAAUCCGGGUCAGGGCA
rnacentral:tRNA from 1 species